rnacentral:lncRNA from 1 species
CCCCCACUGUACUGUGAAGCUCAGGGCAAGACUUUCUAAAAGUCUUCUGCCUACACCUGACAUGCUGUCCAGUGUGCACAGUUAUAUGUUGACUGUAUGAAGAUGGUGAAGGCUUUUCUGUAGUUGCAGAUCUCGCAAAAGGGGAGGAAGGCCUUCACCGCUGAACCCGAGCUUUGCCAUUUCGAAGUGCUGAGUCACCUCGUCCUCUCAGGGUCAGACACUUUCACGCAGGAAACGUCCUGCAGAGCACCGCAGCGGGAGCACCGAGCUGACCUGGAAGGAGAGAACAAGGGCCUUCCUGAGGCAGGACAAGGACCCAGAACUACCCAGAAUGCAGCAGGGCGGCCCCGCACGACUGAGCUCUGAUCCUAACCUGCAAAGUGAAGUUUCAAUUUCCACUUCCUGAGAAGAUGUGGAAACUCAGAGAGGAUGCCACUGUUUUGAACUAUUUUGAAGGCACAGCCACCAGAGCUUUAGGUGAGUGACUCUAUGCUUAUAGGCCCAAAUGUAUCUUCACCCCCUCUCACUCCCUGCGCUGUACAGUUUCCCAUUACCCAACAUGCACUUCUGUUAGCAGCUGACUCUUUCCUAAACCUAUUCCUCCAGGGACUUACUUAGCUAGACAACCAGCUUUUCAGUUUCUUCCUUAUUUUCCUACCUAACUUUAUUAAAUUAAAUUGUUUAUUUUUUGAGACAGGGUCUCACCUUGUAGCCCUGAAUGACUUGGAAUUUGCUGUGUAGACCAGGUUGGCUUUGAACUCACAAUUCUCCAUCUGCCUCUGUUCCCAAAUGCUGGGAUUAACAGUCUAUGUCACACAUACCUAGUCUUCCUUCCUAGCUUUCUAUUUUCAGGAAAUGUCUCUUGGGACUCAGUCUAUCAAGACAGGGGUGGAAGUGGAGCUGGCCAGUGGAGUGUUGGGACAAAGCUCUGAGUGGAGCCCUCGAGUUUAAAACGGAAUCUUAGAGAGGACGUGUUUACUCCUGCAUUAUAGAGCACGGACGCUCAUGACUCAGUUUGAUUUUCAUACACCGUUCUGCUCAUCACUGCCAAGUGGAGCAAUCCAGGCCUCUCAAAAUGUGCCAUACUACCUUCCAGCUAAAAGCUUUCUGUGGGGCUGGCGAGAUGGCUCAGCGGGUAAGAGCACCCGAUUGCUCUUCCGAAGGUCCAGAGUUCAAAUCCCAG